rnacentral:rRNA from 1 species
UACAGAGGUCUCAAGCGUUGUUCGGAUUCAUUGGGCGUAAAGGGUGCGUAGGUGGCGCCGUAAGUCGGGUGUGAAAUUUCGGAGCUUAACUCCGAAACUGCAUUCGAUACUGCGGUGCUUGAGGACUGGAGAGGAGACUGGAAUUCAUGGUGUAGCAGUGAAAUGCGUAGAGAUCAUGAGGAAGACCAGUGGCGAAGGCGGGUCUCUGGACACUUCCUGACACUGAGGCACGAAAGCUAGGGGAGCAAACAGG